rnacentral:sRNA from 1 species
CUUUACCUGGGAAUUGCAAAGGAAGUGAGAACAUCCCCGAGCAAGACCAAAAAUUGCUGAAUAAACACAAACCCCCUUGAGAAUCACGCCAACAGGUGCUGCCUCUUUACCUGGGGAUUGCAAAGCCCCACCGCCAUGGACAGUGUGCCCCUCGUCUGUGACCACGGGUCUGGCUUCAGCAAGGUGGGAUUUGCAGGAAUGGAAAGCCCAACGGGCGUGUUCCCCACUGUCCUCGGGAAACUUCGGCACGAUGUGAGUGAUGUCGGGGUCUCCUCCCUGUGGGGUGCUGCUCAUCCAGAGGUGGCCCGCCGGCCUGGUCAGCCCCAUCCCUUCUCCCACAGGGCGGCCAAGGCCAUCCCCUGAGCAGGGCGUGGUGGGCGCGGACGUGCCUCCGCAAAUCCGAGUCGGGAGCACUGGGCUUGGUAACACACAGAUGACUGGGCCACCUAGAGUCUGUGCCUCAGCUGGUCUGGGGUGGGAGAUGGGGUGGGCAAGGCCCUGCCCCUCUCACCACUCCCAGCAUGCGGCCCACUCUGAGAACUGCAGGCUUAGAGGGAGCAGCGAUGUGUAAAUCAGUAAAGUGGACGCGUUGUGAAAAAUCAGUCUCACUGCCCGUCUCCCAUCUCUGUCUCUUCUCACAUUCAGAGAGGUAUGGACACAGAGAAGGAGCAAUUUGCCUUUAGGGUAAACGGGAGUCCAUUAGGGUGAGUGGCAACAGACACUCAACCUCCGUGACAAGAAGGCAGGAGGAGGGCGGGUAGGGACCUGGACACAGGCCCUCCAAGAGGCCCGUCUCUGACGUGCCAGCAACUGGAUCCCACAUCGCCAGAUCUUCCUGUGUUUCAAGGGAAUUUAGAAACACACGUGUUUCUAUUGUGGUAAAGUAUACACAGUGUAAAGAUGUGUUAACUGCACAGUUCAGUGGCAUCAAGAACAUUCACCACAUCUACCUCCAGAACGUUUCAUCCUUCCAAACGGAAGCUCUGGCCCCAUUAAAAACCAGCUGCUCAUCCCCCUUCCCCGGACAACACAGUUGCAUCAUAACUGAAACUCAGCGAGUGGGUCUGAGCCCGGCCGCAUGCCAGGGAGGGACAGAGAUGCCCCUUCUCCCUGAAGAGGAACCACCUGCUCUGAGAGGUGACUUCCUGAAUCCACAUGGUGACAAAGUGGUGGGGGAAAGACCUCCCAGUGCAUCCGCAUUCCCUGCUCAUGCUCUGGAUCCUGGAGCUCAUCCUCUGGAAGUUCCAGUCAUCCGUGGGAGGGAGCAGCGUCAUGACACGGAAGAUCUCAGAUGUUGCAGGACCCCAUGGCGAUCACUCUUGCACUUUGCAGCACUUGGAGCAAAUUAUUGGCAAUGUUUCUAAUUAUCCAAGAUACACUGGCUCCCAGAUCUGUGACAGAGGAGAAAAUCCCGUCUCCCUCUCUAAGAGGAUAAAAUGCACAUGGAUGCUGGGAGCCAGUGGAUUUCCUCCUCCCUGUCCAAGUGGCAGGAAUCAUGGCAGGGACCGCCCUGGCAAAUCUCAGGUGCCUGCACUCGAGCUAGCCAACCAGCUUGCCACUUGGAGAUUGUGGAGCUCAGUGGUUAAGAGCUGGGGCUUCAGGGCCAGGGAGACUGAGGCUCCAAUCUCAGCCCUGUCCUCAGCACCUGCAUGACUCAGGGCAAGGGUGCUGCUGUGGCAGAGACAUCUCUUUUGCAUAAAGCGAUUGUCCAAAGUAUGUAUCUCGUAGAUUCAGCCUGAAGGUUAAAUGAGAUGAGUGAAUGCAUGUUUAGCACAGUUUCUGGCCCGUAGGGAGUGUUUAGCAAUGAUGACGAUGGCAGUGAUGAUAACAAUGACUAGUAUAUUCGUGUAUUCCCUUAGAACAACAGAAAUGUGGCCAGGUGCGGUGGGUCAUGCCUGUAAUCCCAGCACUUUGGGAGGCCAAGGUGGGUGGAUCACCUGAGAUCAGGAGUUUGAGACCAGCCUGGCCAACAUGGCAAAACCCCAUCUCUACUAAAAAUACAAAAAUUAGCUGGGCGUAGUGGCACACGCCUGUAAUUCCAGCUACUCUGGAGGCUGCGGCAGGAGAAUCGCUUGAACCCGGGAGGCAGAGGCUGCAGUGAGCUGAGAUCACACCACUGCACUCCAGCCUGGGCGACAGAGUGAAACUUUAUCUCAAAAAC